rnacentral:rRNA from 1 species
GUCCACGCCGUAAACGAUGGAUGCCAGCCGUUGGCAAGCUUGCUUGUCAGUGGCGCAGCUAACGCAUUAAGCAUCCCGCCUGGGGAGUACGGCCGCAAGGUUGAAACUCAAAGGAAUUGACGGGGGCCCGCACAAGCGGUGGAGCAUGUGGUUUAAUUCGACGCAACGCGCAGAACCUUACCAGGGUUUGACAUCCUGUGCUCACCUCAGAAAUGGGGUUUCCCCGCAAGGGGCGCAGAGACAGGUGCUGCAUGGCUGUCGU